rnacentral:rRNA from 1 species
CCUACGGGAGGCUGCAGUGGGGAAUAUUGCACAAUGGGCGCAAGCCUGAUGCAGCCAUGCCGCGUGUGUGAAGAAGGCCUUCGGGUUGUAAAGCACUUUCAGCGGGGAGGAAGGCGUUAAGGUUAAUAACCUUGGCGAUUGACGUUACCCGCAGAAGAAGCACCGGCUAACUCCGUGCCAGCAGCCGCGGUAAUACGGAGGGUGCAAGCGUUAAUCGGAAUUACUGGGCGUAAAGCGCACGCAGGCGGUCUGUCAAGUCGGAUGUGAAAUCCCCGGGCUCAACCUGGGAUCUGCAUUCGAAACUGGCAGGCUAGAGUCUUGUAGAGGGGGGUAGAAUUCCAGGUGUAGCGGUGAAAUGCGUAGAGAUCUGGAGGAAUACCGGUGGCGAAGGCGGCCCCCUGGACAAAGACUGACGCUCAGGUGCGAAAGCGUGGGGAGCAAACAGGAUUAGAUACCCGUGUAGUC